AACAUUAGUAUAUAUGCUGUAAGUGGUCGUGAUAAUCUUUAGCCUUUUACUAAAGAUUACCGUGGAGGGAUACAACUUAAAUGAGCUUAAACUAAUUUUUGGACAGCUGAUGAAUGAGUCC